AUUGAACGCUGGCGGAAUGCUUUACACAUGCAAGUCGAACGGUAGAGGGGGCAACUCCUCGAGAGUGGCGAACGGGUGAGUAAUAUAUCGGAACGUGCCCAGUCGUGGGGGAUAACGUAGCGAAAGUUACGCUAAUACCGCAUACGAUCUAAGGAUGAAAGCAGGGGACCGCAAGGCCUUGUGCUCCUGGAGCGGCCGAUAUCUGAUUAGCUAGUUGGUGAGGUAAAGGCUCACCAAGGCAACGAUCAGUAGCUGGUCUGAGAGGACGACCAGCCACACUGGAACUGAGACACGGUCCAGACUCCUACGGGAGGCAGCAGUGGGGAAUUUUGGACAAUGGGGGCAACCCUGAUCCAGCAAUGCCGCGUGAGUGAAGAAGGCCUUCGGGUUGUAAAGCUCUUUUGUCAGGGAAGAAAAGGGAGUGGCUAAUAUCCAUUCCUGCUGACGGUACCUGAAGAAUAAGGACCGGCUAACUACGUGCCAGCAGCCGCCGUAAUAC
rnacentral:rRNA from 1 species